rnacentral:rRNA from 1 species
AUGUCUAUGCAAUACCCGUUAUUAUUCCCGUACGGAGAAGAUGGAUUCAGACCGGAAAUAAAAUUAGAAAAAACAAAAGGUGCCGAAGGAAAGAGAAAGUAUGUUACCAUGGAGUAUUAUGCAUAUCGCAUCCAGCAGCGACUAAACCAGUCAGUAGUCUUGCAAACGAGUGGCAAGUUGUUCCUUCAGUUCAUCGUGGACGCAACAACAUGCAUUGAGCAAUGGAGGCUCAAUUGGUACAGGAUGCACCAAGGGACAGUAAGAACAGAGCUAUAUAGCGGUCUGCAAGAUGCAAUGGAUAAUGGUGAUACUAGAACUGAUCAAGUAGGUAAAGGAAUUAUACUACCUUCAUCAUAUAAUGGAAAUCCGAGGAAUAAACAACAGUACUACCAGGAUGAAAUGGCCAUAUGUCGGUGGGCUGGAUAUCCAGAUCUGUUUAUCACUUUCACAUGCAACCCAAAGUGGCUAGAAAUACAAACCAUGCUGGACUUCAUACCAGAACAAAACCCAGAAGAUCGUCCAGACAUUAUCAAUAGAGUGUUCCUUAUAAAGCUGAAUGAACUAAUAGAAGACAUAUACAAAAAGAAGAGGUUUGGAAAAGCAAUAGCAAUUGUCUACACCAUCGAGUUCCAGAAAAGAGGUCUACCUCAUGCACAUAUACUAUUAUUUUUGGAUCCAGAUGACAGGGAUCCUAGCCCCCAAAAUAUUGACCAGAUCAUAUCAGCAGAGGUGCCAGACAAGGAUGUUGAUUCAGAAGGUUACAUGGCAGGUGAAAAUUUCAUGAUGCAUGGACCAUGUGGACAGGCAUGCUACAAAUUACCAUGCAUGAUCAAUGGGAAGUGCUCAAAACAUUUCCCUAAGAUGUACUAUGAGGAAACAAGCAUCGAUGAAGAAGGAUUCCCAAUAUACAAAAAAGAAAAAAUAAUGGCAGGACAGUAG